GAUGCUUGUUUGGAAGGACGAUGCGUGUUUGGAAGGACGAUGCUUGUUCGGAAGGACGAUGCUUGUUUGGAAGGACCAACUGGAACCUUGAGGAACACUGCCCGGUGUGGGAGAUGUGGAAUUCUGGUGACUUUCUGAUGUUGGGAGAAGUGGAAUUCGCCAUCCUCGCUACCUGUGGAUGCCUGUAUCACUCGGAAACCUCGGAGACGUGAACAUGCACAAGAGACCCCCGGAUUGUGAAAGUGUACAGUUUG